rnacentral:rRNA from 1 species
AACACGUGGGUAACCUGCCUGUAAGACUGGGAUAACUCCGGGAAACCGGGGCUAAUACCGGAUGCUUGAUUGAACCGCAUGGUUCAAUCAUAAAAGGUGGCUUUUAGCUACCACUUACAGAUGGACCCGCGGCGCAUUAGCUAGUUGGUGAGGUAACGGCUCACCAAGGCGACGAUGCGUAGCCGACCUGAGAGGGUGAUCGGCCACACUGGGACUGAGACACGGCCCAGACUCCUACGGGAGGCAGCAGUAGGGAAUCUUCCGCAAUGGACGAAAGUCUGACGGAGCAACGCCGCGUGAGUGAUGAAGGUUUUCGGAUCGUAAAACUCUGUUGUUAGGGAAGAACAAGUACCGUUCGAAUAGGGCGGCACCUUGACGGUACCUAACCAGAAAGCCACGGCUAACUACGUGCCAGCAGCCGCGGUAAUACGUAGGUGGCAAGCGUUGUCCGGAAUUAUUGGGCGUAAAGCGCGCGCAGGCGGUUUCUUAAGUCUGAUGUGAAAGCCCCCGGCUCAACCGGGGAGGGUCAUUGAAAACUGGGGAACUUGAGUGCAGAAGAGGAGAGUGGAAUUCCACGUGUAGCGGUGAAAUGCGUAAAGAUGUGCAGGAACACCAGUGCCGAAGGCGACUCUCUGGUUUGUAACUA